CUGAACCCGUCGGCUGCUGGCGGAAUGCUCGAGCUGCUCGCGCGGCGAGAGCGGGCCGCCGCAUGCCGGCCGGGGGACGGACCGGGAACGGCCCCCUCGGAGGCCUUCCCCGGGCGUCGAACAACCGACUCAGAACUGGUCUCCUCGGCCGAGCCCCGCACCCCCUCGCGGCCUAGCCGUGGCCGGUCGGCACCCUACCGCGCCAAGCUCCGGCUGGCGCUGUUGGCUGCCUGGCCGGCCGUGGUUCGGCCGUGA
rnacentral:misc_RNA from 1 species